rnacentral:rRNA from 1 species
UACGGGGGGGGCAAGCGUUGUUCGGAAUUACUGGGCGUAAAGGGCUCGUAGGUGGCCAACUAAGUCGGACGUGAAAUCCCUCGGCUUAACCGGGGAACUGCGUCUGAUACUGGAUGGCUUGAGUUCGGGAGAGGGAUGCGGAAUUCCAGGUGUAGCGGUGAAAUGCGUAGAUAUCUGGAGGAACACCGGUGGCGAAGGCGGCUUUCUGGGUCUUACCUGACGCUGAGGAACGAAAGCCAGGGGAGCGAACGGG